rnacentral:rRNA from 1 species
UACAGAGGUCUCAAGCGUUGUUCGGAUUCAUUGGGCGUAAAGGGUGCGUAGGCGGCGCGGUAAGUCGGGUGUGAAAUCUCGGAGCUUAACUCCGAAACUGCAUUCGAUACUGCCGUGCUUGAGGACUGGAGAGGAGACUGGAAUUUACGGUGUAGCGGUGAAAUGCGUAGAUAUCUGGAGGAACACCGGUGGCGAAGGCGGCAUCCUGGACCGGUACUGACGCUGAGGCGCGAAAGCGUGGGUAGCAAACGGG